rnacentral:rRNA from 1 species
AUUGAACGCUGGCGGCAGGCCUAACACAUGCAAGUCGAACGGAGUGGCGGACGGGUGAGUAAUGUAUCGGAACGUGCCCAGUAGCGGGGGAUAACUACGCGAAAGCGUAGCUAAUACCGCAUACUAUUGGAGCGGCCGUUAUUGGAUUAGCUAGUUGGGGGGGUAACGGCACACCAAGGCGACGAUCCGUAGCUGGUUUGAGAGGACGACCAGCCACACUGGGACUGAGACACGGCCCAGACUCCUACGGGAGGCAGCAGUGGGGAAUUUUGGGCAAUGGGGGAAACCCUGAUCCAGCCAUCCCGCGUGUGCGAUGAAGGUCUUCGGUUUGUAAAGCACUUUUGGCAGGAAAGCGGUACCUGCAGAAUAAGCACCGGCUAACUACGUGCCAGCCGCCGCGGUAAUAC